rnacentral:rRNA from 1 species
CGGCACGCCUAAACAUGCAAGUCGAACGAAGUAGCAAUACUUAGUGGCAGACGGGUGAGUAACAUGUAGGUAUCUGCCCUUUGGCCUGGAAUAACACGAGGAAACUUGUGCUAAUACCGGAUAAGUCUUUACGGAGAAAGCUUUAUGCACCAUUGGAUGAGCCUGCACUUGAUUAGUUUGUUGGUGGGGUAAUGGCCUACCAAGACUGUGAUCAAUAGCUGAUUUGAGAGGAUGAUCAGCCACAUUGGGACUGAGACACGGCCCAAACUCCUACGGGAGGCAGCAGUGGGGAAUCUUGCACAAUGGAGGAAACUCUGAUGCAGCGAUGCCGCGUGAGUGAAGAAGGCCCUUGGGUUGUAAAGCUCUUUCGUCGGGGAAGAAAAUGACUGUACCCGAAUAAGAAGGUC